rnacentral:rRNA from 1 species
AGCAGCCGCGGUAAUUCCAGCUCCAAUAGCGUAUAUUAAAGUUGUUGCAGUUAAAAAGCUCGUAGUUGAAUUUCGGGGUCAGUAGGUUGGUCGUGCCACUGGUAUGCACUGGUCUCACUGAUUCCUCCUUCCUGAUGAACCGUAAUGCCAUUUAGUUGGUGUUGCGGGGAAACAGGACUGUUACUUUGAAAAAUUAGAGUGUUUAAAGCAGGCUAACGCCUGAAUACAUUAGCAUGGAAUAAUGUAAUAGGACGAGCGAUCCUAUUUUGUUGGUUUCUAGGAUUGACGUAAUGAUUAAUAGGGAUAGUUGGGGGCAUUAGUAUUCAAUUGUCAGAGGUGAAAUUCUUGGAUUUAUUGAAGACUGACUACUGCGAAAGCAUUUGCCAAGGAUGUUUUCAUUAAUCAAGAACGAAAGUUAGGGGAUCGAAGACGAUCAGAUACCGUCGUAGUCUUAACCAUAAACUAUGCCGACUAGGGAUCGGAUGAUGUUAAUUUUUAAUGACUCAUUC